UCUGGAUGGCUUCCCUUCUCUCCAAUGUAUUGACUGCACCACUCAGCUUGGUGUCAUCCGCUAAUUUGCUGAGGGUGCACUUGAUGCCAUCAUUUAUAUCUCUGAUGAAGAUGUUGAAGAGUACCGGUACAAAGACCAACCCCUGCGGGACACCGCUUGUGACCAGCCUCUACCCUGACACAGACCCAUUGAUCACAACCCUUUGGCUGCGUCCAGACAGCCAGUUCCUAAUAUACUGAACAGUCCAUCCUUCAAAUCCACACCUCUCCAAUUUAUUCUGAAACCAGGCAGGUGAAUAUUUUUGGAGUGUACUGUGCUUCCAGACUGCACAGAACAAGAGUUUUUCUUCUUCAUGUUGGAACAGUUGUUCCUAAUAUUAUUGAGAAGCAUUUGAUUCCACAAGAGCUGUGUGUGAAGCAGGUAACAAUUUUAUAUAAACAAAUACAUUAUUCUCAUUUACUUCUUUGCAUGAAUCAUAAACAACUACAAUUUUGAAUUUAUUUCAGUUACUGCUAUUACUUCCUUCACAUGUGCUAUUAGAAUUUGUCAAAUUAUGUUUGUUCUCCUAACUGUGAUUUAAAUGUAAGGUAACUUCAAAUAUACUUCGAAAUUCUCCUGUAUAAUUAUUUAAAUGGAGAUAGGCUUUAUCAGUACCUCUUUUCAGUAAAAGAAAGUCCUUUUUAAUUGCACAAAGUAUGCGUAAAUAUCUCAGCCUUCCUAAAUUCUCACCAUUUUCUUUUGAGAAAGUAGCAUUAUUCAUUUGAAAACAGAUAGAAAAAUAUUGUAUUCACAAAUACAAUAACCCACCAAUGCAAAUGUUGGUUGUUUUUUUUUGUUUGGUUUUUUUUGUUUGUUUGUUUUUUGUUUUUUUACAGCUUCUGUAUCUUGUUCAAAGCACGUUUUUUUUUUUUUUAAUCCUAUGCAUCUCAUAAGAUGUGAGUCAUUUCCUGAAAAAAAUGUACCUUUUUUUUUCCUAACUGUGUGGCAGAGGAAGAAGUUUACAUAAAUAUGUAGUAUAAUAGUUAAAUUUAGAUUAGAAUCCAACUUCCCAGAACGAAGACUUCUUUUUAUGUUAUUACUUUCACCAAUAACUAUCCAUCAAAAAUUACUUCAAAUAAAACGUUAAAGGAAGUCUGACUGAGAGACUUGUUUAAGCUUUAGCAAUCUGCUCCAAACUCAUUAAUGACCAAAGUGCUCCUAUCUUCAAUGCUUGCAUCUUUAGGAAAAGUCUAUGGAAUUUCAGUGUGAUGAUAUGAAUAUACUUGCCUUUUUUGAAAUGGAAAUGCAAAUUUCCAUUUAUACAUCCUACAACUUAGUUUUAAUAUGGAAAGAUCUUACUGAUCUGAUCAGCACAAGUAAAAAAAUUACUGAUUAGUAUUGCUAUACAUCCAUAUACUAUUUUUUUAAUGCAGUGCUAGCAACAUCAUUAACAUCUGCAAAGCUCAUGGAAGGGUCAGAAUUCCUGCUGUUUUCCAUAACUACUGAAAUUAAAUAAAAAUCAUUAAACUGAAAGAAAAUUACUUCUGAAUAGACUGUACUCUGAGAUUUUCAAAUGAGAGUCCACAGUAGUCAUAGUUACUAAAUACUACUGCAAUGGGCACUUCUUGCACCAUUUCCAAUAAAGCAUAACAUGUUUAGCUGAUUUGCUAAGAAAUGAAGGGUGGAAGGAUUGUAUACAAACCCCCAUACCUAGUCUCCAGAAAACUGCUACUCACAUUCUGUGGCUUUGAGACUCCUCGUGGAGUCAGGUAUUUGUCUAUCAUAUUAAAUAAGUAGUUCUAUAACGAACAGUAAAUUGAGGAGCACCAAGCAUGAGGUAGGCAUUAGUAAUCAGGAGGAUGAAGUUUAUUGAUUGGACAUACUAUAAAAUGCAACCAGAGUAACUGUAUCAAAUCAAAUGGUUUUUUGUUCUGUUUUCCUGAUCAAGAAUUAAGUUUAUCCUCUCAGCAGAGAUAUUACUGUUAGAGAACUCAGGAUCUAAAAGUGGUUAUUUUUUUCCUGAAAGAUGGAUCAUUUGUAAAUUCAAAUUCUUUGUUGGCAGUCUAUGGUGAAAGGUGAAAUAUUUGCUUGGUGGAAGGAUUAAAGAAGGAUGUGUUCAUUCAUGGUACUGUUAUAGGAAAAAAAUCUUGAGUCAAUGGAACAUUUUGUCUCCAAAGAAUUACUAUUGAGUUCAGUGGAUAAUUAGAGGUCUAAACACGUGCUGUUGGAGCCAGAUGUAUUCUGGACUACCUCAGACCUGAGCAAGGUAAGUACGAAACUUUGUCAAGUUACAGUGGGAACUUUCCAUGCUGCCUUCCUAGGGGAACUAAUCCCAAGCAGAAGGUGACAUAGUGGAAAUGCAAAGCUGUGACCUGUGGCUCAUGAGAACAAGCCCCCUGGAAUGAAACAGUCUGGAGCACUUCAUUUUUGCUUUAUCUUGUCUUCCUGUCUGCACCACAAACAGUCUUUUAAACCUUUACAGCAUCUUUAUAGCCAAAUAAUAAAAAGCUCUACCAGGGUGUUGGUUACAGAUGGGAACAAUGAGCCCUUGGUGAUCUGAUUCUUCUCAGAUCAAUGUAAAUUAGGAUUAAUUCCACUGAAGUCACUGGGAAAAAAAUCUAAAGCCAGUGAAAGUGGAGAAUAAAGUUUUAGAUUUCAGAUCUAAGUUAAACAAAAAGAUCAAGUUGCCUAAUAGGGGUUUUCCUUACCCAUUUAAAGUAAUAAUCAUUUCCUGUUUAUUUUUGGUUUUGUUUUGUAUCUUUCCCCUUACUGUGAAUCUAUCUGAUUUGCAGCAUACUGUGAAUACACAUAGCAUACUGAGAAUUUCUCUACCAUGGUAGCCUUGCUAUUUCAGUGCUAUAUCACUGCAACCAUGCAGUGAUGUUAUUCACUAGCUCUGUUUGUAGCAGCCUUCAAGAGCCUCAUGGGAUCCAUUGUGAAGAGGAAGAUCAUUUAACCUUUAAUCAACCUUAUGUGCUGGCCCAGCCUUGAGAAACCACACUAUGAACACAUUCCAGGAUCUCCUUACUUUUUGGGAAAGAAGGUACGGAUCUUCUAGGCCUACUGACACAGAAGAGAGGAUACGUGCCCAACUGUAGACAUAAAGCUGUCUUUGGGAACAGGAGACAGGAUGCGGCAGAGGGUAAAAGCUACUGGGAUAGCAAACAUUGAAAAAAUGGAUCCAAAAGAGAGCCAGUUUGGGCUGCUUGAGAAGAAAGGACUGUGCUCCGAUACACAGUUGUGGAGAAUUGUUUCCACAAUACGGAAGUGCUGGUAUUCUGCAGUUCAGUCUGCAUUAUUAAACAGUGGAGUGAGGGAUAGCCAGGCAUCAACAAAGCAAUGCAGCUUUUACCAGUGAAAAUAAAUUCUGCUCACUAUGCACACAGCAUUUAGACACAGCAGCAAGUGGCAAUGUCAACAUCACUUAUUCACUAAUUAUUAUAUAUUUAUUACCAUUAAUAAAGCUCUCUUUGAUGUUUGAA